GACGAACGCUGGCGGCGUGCUUAACACAUGCAAGUCGAACGGAAAGGCCUGCUUUCCCUUGUGGUUUGCGGGUGCUCGAGUGGCGAACGGGUGAGUAACACGUGAGUUAUCUGCCCCCAACUUGGGUAUAAGCCUGGGAAACUGGGUCUAAUUCCCGAUAGGACUGCAGGGUGGUGCCUGUGGUGGAACACGAUUCUCUAGUGGUAGGGGAUGGGCUCGUGGCCUAUCAGCUUGUUGGUGGGGUAAUGGCCUACCAAGGCGGCGACGGGUAGCCGGCCUGAGAGGGUGGACGGCCACAUUGGGACUGAGAUACGGCCCAGACUCGUACGGGGGGCAGCAGUGGGGAAUAUUGCACGAUGGGCGGAAGCCUGAUGCAGCGACGCCGCGUGGGGGAUGACGGGCUUCGUGUUGUAAACUCCUUUCGACCGCGAGGAAGCCACCUGGUUGGAAGGGUGGUGACGGUAGUGGUAGAAGAAGCACCGGCUAACUACGUU
rnacentral:rRNA from 1 species